CCCCCACCCCCAUACACACACAUAUCAAUGCACAAAUGGGCCAAGGCAGAGCCAUCGAACCAGUAUUGCAGCUCUACCGGGCACUGAAGCCUACAAGACCAGGCGGUCCAAUCUUCUACUUCUCUAGGCUGCUUUCAACGGAUGCCACGAUUAAGACUACUCAAAACAUGUGGGUGUGGACUUGCUGCUGCAGCGCUAUCAGAAUACUGCAGACCCUUCUGGCCUACUUAGGCUUCUCGUGGUGCAACACUUUAUCCAGGAGAGGAAGCCACCCUGGCCAGCUCCCUGGAGUCCACUGGCCUGGGUUUUGAUCUGGUGGCUGAAGCUCCUCUUUCAUGCGCGCAAUAGGGAUACAAACGACUUAAUACCCAUGAGAAAUUAAGCCAAGCCGCUAGCUUCUUUUCCGGGGAACAUGAGAAUCCACUUUCUGGAUCUUGCUCCUAUAGAACAGUCACUUUUGGGCAGAUUCAGGACAGGAGGUCAGGAAUUUGUGACUCCAUUUUCCUGUGUCUUCUCUACACAAAUCUCUGCCGUCGGGCUUAUUUCUCCACUUCUGGGACAUGAUCACUGUCAAGUGCCCAUCUUUCUCUCAGGACAUCUGCAAAGAUCAAAGAGAAUGAUAGCUAUAAAGCUCCUGACAAGAACCUGGCUUGCUCACUUAGAAACAUUUUUUUUUCUUUUCUUUUUUCCCCCGUUUUGUUGCCUUUGAAACAAGGUCUUGCAACAUAGCUUUGACUGCCCUUAAACUUAGGAUCCUCCUGCCCCAGGCUCCCAAAUGCUGGGAUUAUAGAUGGGAGGCAUUGCAGUUAGCUCAUCUGAAAACUUCUAAAACUCCAGGCUACACCCCAGUUACUACAGAGCUUCCAGGUAGAGUGCAGGCCCCUGUCAAGUGGGUCUAGUGUUGGAACUAGAGUUCCAAGAAUAACAAUGAACACUCUGAUCCUCCUGCUUCCACAUCUGUCUUUGACAAUGACUUUGAUGACUUGAUCUGUCUAGAAUUUUACCUAUGAGGAUUUGAGGCUGCACAUCUCUUAUCAGUUACAUGUUUAUCUUCAUGGUUGCUAUCCCUUCCCCAAAUCUUUAUUGCAGAUGGCGUUGGUUUCCCAGUCUCAGUGAACAAUGUUUCCUUAGAGAUAAUAAACAUGAUAGUACUGA